GCUUCCUUGGCUCAGUUGGCUAGAGCGCAGGUCUCAUACUUACAUGUGAGUGAUCGUAUGGUCAUACAAUCCUGAGGUCGCAAGUUCGAGCCUUGCAGGGAGCA